GAUAGAUUCUCAGCUCAGCUGGUAUCGUAAACUAAUAGUGUAAUUGAUCUUGGUUGUCUACUAUAUAUUGCAGGGUAUUUCUGUGGUGGUAUGUAAGAUCACUUUUCAUGUGUUGGUUGGUGAUACCUCAGUUAAAUGGGGCGUUUUAUUUAUACCAAAUUUUUGUUCAUCCAUAUUAGCAAUUCAAACUGCCCAAUGCUAUCACUCAUCUGUGUUCUGAAUGGCUUAAAAAACUGAAGAAGCAUUCAGUAUCUAUCAACAAAGAGACAUUUUUGGCUGUGGCAGAGAGUUGUCUUGAUGAGAAUGAUUCUCUGAUUGCAAACAAGAUUGAAAACAUAUCAACUUCAGCUAUACAGGUUCUCAGUAAACCUGUCAUUCCAGCAGUUGCAAUAUGCCCAGAUACUUCUUCUUCUCUAGCGGUAUUCCAGAGCAGGUGGACAUGUGAAAUAUGUCAAGUGACAGUCAGGUCUGAGCUGACACUGCAAUCCCAUCUUCGAGGGAGAAAACACAGGGCUGAAGCUAUGUUGUGGUGUACUUUCUGUAACUUGAGAGUCUCUGGUGAGAUUGACAUGAUUGCACAUCUUAAGGGGAAGAGGCACUUGGCAAAGCUUCAAGAGACUUAUACUGAUUCUGAAACGUCUUAGACUAUUUUGGUUGGUUAUUUCAAUACAUCCCAAGUUUCCAUUGCAAAGCAAGUUUGCUAUGAGAGUUGCCUGUUGUUAUAGGUCAACUUAGCCUGAUGGCAUAAAAGAUUACCUAUUGUCAUAUGUCGUUUAACAUUUUGGUGCAACAACAAUAUUCCCCAUCACUUUUUGGAACUAAAUUUUGCUUAAUUCAGUUUUUAUUCUAGUAUCAACUUGUGUUUUAUUAUUGAGAAUCUUUUGUUUCAAUUAUGAUACCAAUGAAAAGUGGUGGAAGGAUAGAAUAUAAUUAUAGGAUACUGGGGGAAAAUAAAAUCUGGUAACAAAAAA